rnacentral:misc_RNA from 1 species
UUUCCGUAGGUGAACCUGCGGAAGGAUCAUUCAUAAUAAAGUGUUUUAUGGCACUUUUUAAAAAUCCAUAUCCACCUUGUGUGCAAUGUUAGAUCUCGUCAAUCUAGGCAAGAUUUUUAUACAUCAACUCAUUCUUUAACUAAUUUGUCUGAAAAAUAUUAUGAAUACUUAAUUCAAAAUACAACUUUCAACAACGGAUCUCUUGGCUCUC